AUGGCGGCUUCUUUUCCGCUCCCAGUGACCCAGGACCUGUCCACGUUGCGUGCCAAGUUGCAGGGACUGCUGCAGUUCCUGAGAGAAGCCCUGUCCAUUUCCAGUGCACAUACGGUGGACUUCUACACUGAGUCCGUGUGGAAGCAACUGGUCGAUUUGCCCCCGGAGACCGUGCUGGGGGUGCUGAGGCGGUCAGCGGCCGAGGCGGAGGCUCGAUCCCCCGAGGCGCGCCUCCUGGUGGAAACCGAGAUGGGAUCAGGUAUUGCCAAUUUUCCCCAAAUAUUUUGUGAAACUUCCCAGAAGCUAGUGAGUGUGGAAGCCUUUGCUUUGGCUGUGAGAUAUUAUUCUGUACAAAACUUGGGAAUAUGUACUCCUUUUGAACAGUUGCUUACAGCCCUUCAAGGAAAUCAAAAACAGAGAACUGGUGAAAAUGUGAAACCAGAUGAGUUUAUGAAUUUGAAAAAGUCUCAUGAAGUUCAGGUUAUGUCAGAGCUGAUCAGCAGUAUUGCUGAUUACUGUGGAAUAAAGCAGGUAAUUGACCUGGGUUCUGGAAAAGGCUACCUAAGCUCUUUUUUGUCCUUGAAGUAUGGUUUAAAAGUUUAUGGAAUUGAUUCCUCAAAUAUCAAUACUCAUGGAGCUAAGGAGAGAAACAGGAAAUUGAAGAAACAUUGGAAAGUCUAUCAUACUCGGUCAAAAUUAGAUGGCAAUGGACUGGCAUUAAAAAUGGCAAAAGAAAGGAAAGUGCAAGAUGAAAUUAAAUAUAAAGUAGAUAUUGAGGGAAUAUGUAACAACAGUCCUGCAAAUCAAGGAAAGAUGUCUACCUCGGAUUUUUUGCCAGAUUUUUCGGAUUCUGUAAUUUCUAACAUUAGAACACAAAUGGAAAACCUACAUGUGUAUUCACAUCGAGAAGAAAAUUUGUGUUUUGAAAAUGCCUUUUCUCUUAUAGACCUUUUGCCUAUUAAUGCUGUAGAACCUACUUCAUUGCAAACAUCUAAAAGAAAUAUGUCUGAAGCAAAUAAAGAGAGAAGAAAAAUGAUAUCAAAGUCAAAUGAAUCAAAUAUAUACUCACCUUUAACAUCUUUUAUCACUGCUGAUUCAGAACUGCAUGAUAUUAUUAAAGACCUGGAGGAUUGUCUGAUGGUAGGCCUCCAUACUUGCGGUGAUCUUGCUCCAAAUACCCUGCGAAUAUUUACUUCCCAGCCUGAAAUCAAGGGAGUUUGCAGUGUGGGUUGUUGCUAUCACCUCUUAUCUGAAGAAUUUGAAAACCUGCACAAAGAAAGCACCCAAGACAAGUGGGGAUUUCCAAUGUGCCAUUAUUUAAAGGAAGAGAGAUGGUGCUGUGGUCGUAAUGCCAGAAUGUCAGCAUGUUUGGCAUUGGAACGGGUUGCGGUUGGCCAAGGGCUGCCUACUGAAUCACUCUUCUAUCGAGCUGUCCUUCAGGAUAUUAUUAAAGAAUGUUAUGGCAUCACCAAAUGUGAUCGGCAUGUUGGUAAAAUUUAUUCCAAAUCCUCUUCCUUUCUGGACUAUGCCAGAAAGUCUCUAAAGAAGCUUGGGUUAGAUGAGUCCAAGCUGCCAGAAAAAGUUAUAAUGGACUACUACGAGAAGUACAAGCCUAGAAUGAAUGAGCUGGAAGCUUUUAAUAUGUUGAAAGUUGUUCUGGCUCCUUGUAUAGAGACACUGAUUCUUCUGGAUCGACUUUGCUAUCUGAAAGAGCAGGAAAAUAUUGCAUGGUCUGCACUUGUGAAGUUGUUUGAUCCUGUGAAAUCUCCCAGAUGUUAUGCUAUUAUUGCUCUGAAGAAGCAGCAAUGAUUUCAGUUGAAGCAAGGAAAGAGAACUGUUUAAGAAAUAAUCUGCCAUGUGAAAGAUGUGCUCUGGUAACCUGUGACCAGAAGGAACUGGAAGUCUCCAAACCUCUCCAGCAGUGAACACGUUCAGAAGAUGCUGUGGAGGAAAGGGAGGAAAUGAAUACACUGAUCCUCCAUGGGAUAAAACUGGCCUAUCCUCUGACAGAAAAGACUAAUGCCAGGUUUCCUCAGAGAAUAAUGUGUGUGUCAAUUCCUGUGGGAAACAUUUGCUGAUAUUCUGCCCACACCUCCACCGCCACCCAAGUGAAGGUGUCAAGAACAUGAUAUAAAUCUAAAUACUUCACCACCGAACAUGUGAGAGACCUGAGAAAGCAGAAGCCAUUCUAGACGCCACGUGCCUUGACUGACAAAUAGACCAAGCUGAAGUAGUUUAGAGAUCACAUCAUGUGACAUAUAUCUGCUUUGUUUCGAUAAAUAAACCUAGAACUGUUAAAAUAUGGCCGAUUACACAUUGAGAUGAGGGUGAAAUAAAGAGAAUGGAAUAUUUUCUGAGGUCAUAACAUUCAGUAUUAAUUCUACAAUUUCACUAUAAUUAACGGGCCCAGGAGCAAAUCCUUCUGCUGAUCAGGUUUGAGUUGCUCUUUUACGGUGACAAAUGAAGCACACCAAGAAAGUAAAAUUUGACAUUUCCUUCAUGGCUUCUUAGAACAAUGCAUGUUGGAAUGAAGCAGAAAAUAGUGGAGUUUAAAGACAAAUUAAAAAAAGAAAAAGAGAAACAGUGACUGAAUCCAUCAAGACAAGAUUCCACUUUUGAAUGUCUACGUGCAGCUCGGCUCUCCCACUACCUCUGCAUAAUUUUCAGCAGGGAGCUGCUACUGUUAUUCUUUAAUGCAACCCUGUAUAUAAAUUAAAGAUUCUGGCUCCCUCAAGGCAAAUAUCCUGAAUUCAUCUUUACUGAAAGAGGGAAAAAAAUGUCAUACCUUCUUAAUCCAGAAGAUUGAAGGUCCCACACAGGAAUCAGUUCUUAAUGUCAUCUGGGAUGGAGUCAUAUUGACAACUAGCAGACAUUUUCCUCAUGGAGCAUGGGACUUCUUCUGAGCACCCAGUGGCCAAUCCAUAGAUGAGCUCAUCCUGCGUCUCUUCCAUCUGAGAUCCCUUCUGUCUGUGGGAAGGAGCCCCGUGCUCUUUACUCACACAGUACCAUCACCACUGAACCUGGGGGUACUCCUCUGAUGGUUUCCAUUUGCUGGAACAUUUGACACAGGAGUUGGCGCUUGUACAGAGGUGGAAGGGGGGCAGGGUUGGCUGCUGGGGUCAUAGGAGGUGGUGAGGUGGGAGUAAUUAGCUGCCUUGAAUCUACACCUGUCUUUGUUUCUGUAUAGAACCUGUAUCAGUUGGAUCAGUGUGUCCUGAUUCUUGAGAUCUCAACCAUAUCAAAAUGUCACUUGGCCCAAGUCCAGACUCUGCACUUGCAUUUCAAAUGUUCCACCGUAACCAUCUAUCACUGAGACUCCUCACAUUUCCUUUUGAUUACUCUAGCCCAGAAGAAAGCUAAAACAUUUUCUGGGAUCUCUUUUUCCCAGCGGGAGCUCUCUGCUUCAUUCGAGAACAGUUCUCAAACCCUAACCUAAAUGAUGGCCAACCAUUGCCAGCGUAUUUCGAAAGUGGUUCUCCUUUCUCUGGAAUUUUUGUUUGUGCUAUUUCCUUACUUUCUGAUAUCAUUAAAAAUAUGUGUUUUGUAGUUUAUUUGCCUUUUUGUGGUUUUGCAGUCAAUGUGUUGGCUUGCCAUGACCUACUACAUCUUGCCUGAAAGCAGACCUAUUAAAUUUAUUUUUACAUGCUGA